GCGGGUGUGAGAGCACGACCCGCGCCACUGGCACUGAGACACUGGCCAGACACCUACGGGUGGCUGCAGUCGAGGAUCUUCGUCAAUGGGCGAAAGCCUGAACGAGCGACGCCGCGUGCGCGAUGAGGGCCUUCGGGUUGUAAAGCGCGAAAGUGGGGACGAAAGCCGAAAGGUUUGACCGAUCCACAGUAAGCUCGGGCUAAGUUCGUGCCAGCAGCCGCGGUAAGACGAACCGAGCGAACGUUAUUCGGAAUCACUGGGCUUAAAGGGCGCGUAGGCGGGCAUUCAAGUCUGUGUUGAAAUCCGGCAGCUCAACUGUCGAACUGGCAUGGAUACUGGGUGUCUCGAGGGAGGUAGGGGCGUGCGGAACUAUUGGUGGAGCGGUGAAAUGCGUUGAUAUCAAUAGGAACUCCGGUGGCGAAGGCGGCACGCUGGACCUCUUCUGACGCUGAGGCGCGAAAGCCAGGGGAGCAAACGGGAUUAGAUACCCCGGUAGUCCUGGCCCUAAACGUUGGGUACUAGAUAGUAGGCUUCACAUGGGUUUACUGUCGAAGCAAAAGUGCUAAGUACCCCGCCUGGGGAGUAUGGUCGCAAGGCUGAAACUCAAAGGAAUGACG
rnacentral:rRNA from 1 species